AUAUAUGGUUAAAAAAGCUUUGAGACAGUCAUUCUUCUGAUGUGUCAAGAUGCGUGCCUGCCUUUUUCUGUUGUGGAGUACUCUCUCAGCUACUUGGACAAACCAAAUAAUUGUGACCCAGACACCUGGUGUGGUGAAGAUGAUAGCCAGUGGCACGGUGACUUUGAAGUGCCACGUUGAUCAGAUUCUCGCCUUUUGCCACUCAGUGACUUGGAUGAAAGUAGACGCCAGGACUGGAACAAUGAGCACAAGAACUAACGUAAAGAUUAAUACGACAUCUGAGGUAGGGAAACGGGACAGAGUAUGUUCGGCAACCAUCACCAACGCAUUAGUGAGCGACUCUGGCAUGUACUACUGUUUGGCUGUUCACUCCAAGGCGGUCCACACUGGCAACGGAUCCAAUCUAAUCGUCACAGAGAGCAGCACUGAAUCCCCAAACAUCAAAAUCGUCUCAUCAGACAGCGACGGCUCCUCCGCCGCUCUGCUGUGUUUGGUGUCUGGAGUGGUCCCGUCUCAAGUCCAUGUGUUCUGGCUCAUAGACGGGAGAGAGGACAGUGGACUUACUGAGUCCACCUGGACAGACAACAGUGAUUCAGCCACAGAGUUCACUAGGAACCAGAUUCUGGUCAAAGCAGAGGAGUGGGACAGAGGAGCAGAAUGCACGUGUGUGGUAGAGUUCGAAGGGCAGUACAUCAACAAAACCGUGCAACACAAUGAUUUCUCCACAAUGUGUUACACCAUAGUGAGUCUCUACAGGGUUCUGGGAAUUGUGUCCGCUCUUCUUCUUCUCCUUACACUGAUUGCACGGGUACAGCUAUCCUGCAGGAGCAACAAUUCAGGCAAGCGUAAGAAAAGCAACAGAAACCCCCCAAACUAAAGAAAAGGAGAGCUUUGGGAUUCUGUCUUCAUUGUGAAAACUUCAGGAAACCAACAUUCAGAAUUUGAGGGCUUUGAGUGAAUCAGAGGGCUUCAUACCAACUAGGAAGACGUUAAGUAUGUAGUACGUUUUCACUGGGUGUCGAAAGGCUAUAGAAUUUUUACGUGACUUCUUAUAAAAAAAAUCCUUUUCACUUUGCUUUUGAUUUCAUUACAUGAAAAUUGUCAGAUAAGCAAUAUGCAUAAAAAAUAAAAUGUGUUGGAAUAGCCCAAUUCUUCCAUAAAGUGAUAUCCUGAAAGUACUGUAGUGAUGAAAUGUUUUUUUUCCCUCAUCUUGUGUCACCAUCUCAAAACAUCCAGUAGAUAUCAGUGUUUACUCAAAAUCUACAACCUACCCUUCCUGUCACUUGUGCGUCCAUUGUAGUGACACUGAUUGAAUGAAGAAUAGCGCCGAAGGAGAUGGCUGCCAUUUUAUAAUCCCAUAACCAAUUGUGCUAUUGUGUAUACUUUUUUGAGCUAUUUGUAACUUUUUAAAAAGUAAGCAUUUCACUGUCAGGUAUUCGGCACAUGUGACAAAUUAAAUUUGAUUUGAGA